rnacentral:rRNA from 1 species
GACGGAGGGGGCAAGCGUUGUUCGGAAUUAUUGGGCGUAAAGGGCUCGUAGGCGGUCCGUCACGUCGGGAGUGAAAACUCGGGGCUCAACCCCGAGCCUGCUUCCGAUACGGGCGGACUAGAGGUAGGUAGGGGAGAACGGAAUUCCUGGUGUAGCGGUGGAAUGCGCAGAUAUCAGGAGGAACACCGGUGGCGAAGGCGGUUCUCUGGGCCUUACCUGACGCUGAGACGCGAAAGCGUGGGGAGCGAACAGG